rnacentral:rRNA from 1 species
GGGUUGUGAGGUUAAGCGACUAAGCGUACACGGUGGAUGCCCUGGCAGUCAGAGGCGAUGAAGGGCGUGCUAAUCUGCGAUAAGCGCCGGUAAGGUGAUAUGAACCGUUAUAACCGGCGAUACCCGAAUGGGGAAACCCAGUGUGAUUCGUCACACUAUCAUUAACUGAAUCCAUAGGUUAAUGAGGCGAACCGGGGGAACUGAAACAUCUAAGUACCCCGAGGAAAAGAAAUCAACCGAGAUUCCCCCAGUAGCGGCGAGCGAACGGGGAGGAGCCCAGAGCCUGAAUCAGCAUGUGUGUUAGUGGAAGCGUCUGGAAAGGCGCGCGAUACAGGGUGACAGCCCCGUACACAAAAGCGCAUGUGCUGUGAGCUCGAUGAGUAGGGCGGGACACGUGGUAUCCUGUCUGAAUAUGGGGGGACCAUCCUCCAAGGCUAAAUACUCCUGACUGACCGAUAGUGAACCAGUACCGUGAGGGAAAGGCGAAAAGAACCCCGGCGAGGGGAGUGAAAAAGAACCUGAAACCGUGUACGUACAAGCAGUGGGAGCACAGGUUUACCUGUGUGACUGCGUACCUUUUGUAUAAUGGGUCAGCGACUUAUAUUCUGUAGCAAGGUUAACCGUAUAGGGGAGCCGAAGGGAAACCGAGUCUUAACCGGGCGUUAAGUUGCAGGGUAUAGACCCGAAACCCGGUGAUCUAGCCAUGGGCAGGUUGAAGGUUGGGUAACACUAACUGGAGGACCGAACCGAC